rnacentral:rRNA from 1 species
UACGAAGGGUGCAAGCGUUACUCGGAAUUACUGGGCGUAAAGCGUGCGCAGGCGGUUGUGCAAGACAGAUGUGAAAUCCCCGGGCUCAACCUGGGAAUUGCAUUUGUGACUGCACGGCUAGAGUGUGUCAGAGGGGGGGUAGAAUUCCACGUGUGAGCAGUGAAAUGCGUAGAGAUGAUGGAGGAAUACCGAUGGCGAAGGCAGCCCCCUGGGAUAACACUGACGCCUCAUGCACGAAAGCGUGGGGAGCAAACAGG